rnacentral:misc_RNA from 1 species
AGACAACUGAAAAAUAAAAUGCAUCUUCACUCUUAUUUUCUUUCCCAUAUUGAAACCUUGUAUUGAUACUAAAAGAAAAAUUAAAGCUUUUAUGGACAAAAAAAAAGGUUCAAUUCUAAUUAAAAAUGUUUGACUGGAAUGAAUCAUGAAAUCAAUGUAAUAAUCAUAGAUUUAAGUCGAAUACAAUCAAAAUCUAAAUAGAGUUCAG